rnacentral:rRNA from 1 species
UUUUUGUAAAUAAUUUAAAGUAGGGCCUGCCCMCUGAUUUAAUUGAAGGGCCGCAGUAUAUUGACUGUGCAAAGGUAGCAUAAUCAUUAGUUUUUUAAUUGAAAGCUUGAAUGAAUGGUUUGAUGAAAAAAUUUCUGUCUCAAUAUUAAUAAUAGAAUUUUAUUUUUAAGUUAAAAAGCUUAAAUUUUUUUAAAAGACGAGAAGACCCUAUAGAACUUUAUUAAUUUAAUUUAAAAAUUUUUAGAAUUAAAAAAUUUUUAAAAAAAAAUUAAUUUAAUUGGGGUGAUUAAAAAAUUUAAUAAACUUUUUUUAUAUAAUUACAUUAAUUUAUGAAAAUUUGAUCCAUAAAAAUGAUUAAAAGAAAAAGUUACCUUAGGGAUAACAGCGUAAUUUUUAUGGAGAGUUCAAAUCGAUAUAAAAGAUUGCGACCUCGAUGUUGGAUUAAAAUAAAAUUUUGGUGUAGAAGCUAAAAGGUUAGGUCUGUUCGACCUUUAAAAUUUUACA